rnacentral:lncRNA from 1 species
AUGCUUUUCUCUGCAUCUGUUUUCUACAGCAGGCAGGCGUCGAGGAGCAUGGCAGAGCUGAAUUCAUUCCCUGCUGAAGCUGGACAAAAGCCCCAGCAGACCACGUAUCCUGUGCCAUGUCUCGACUGGGGCAUUCAACUCCUUGUGAGCGUUGUCUGUGAUAGCUACACAACUGCUAUACAUCUGCUGAGUGAGCCAGCCCUUGGAGAUGAACAAUUCAACCAAAUUCACAUAGGAAACUGGAGCCUGACCCCAGUCCUGGCACCACCCCACUUCGCUGGCAGCUGGCAGCGCAGCAGCCAGGAGGAAACACUGGGGCUUAAGUGA